rnacentral:rRNA from 1 species
UACGUAGGGUGCGAGCGUUAAUCGGAAUUACUGGGCGUAAAGCGUGCGCAGGCGGUUUUGUAAGCCAGAUGUGAAAUCCCCGGGCUUAACCUGGGAAUGGCAUUUGGGACUGCAAGGCUUGAGUGCGGCAGAGGAGACUGGAAUUCCCGGUGUAGCAGUGAAAUGCGUAGAUAUCGGGAGGAAUACCGAUGGCGAAGGCAGGUCUCUGGGCUGACACUGACGCUCAUGCGCGAAAGCGUGGGGAGCAAACAGG